UCACCUUCACGUAUUUUUUUCUAAUCGCACCACAAAACAGUAAAAGGCCUUUCCGAUGUCGUCCCUCGAAGAGCUCCGUAAGCAGAUAGAGGCUAUUGCCUCCCAGAUCGCAGACAACAAAAAGACAAAGGGUACUGACAGUGAUGAGUACAAGUCGCUGGUGAAGCAGAUGGGUAUGCUGCGCAGCCAGCUUCCGCAGGAUGAGAAGAAGGCGAAAAAAGACAAGACGGUAGAGCCGUCGUACUUCGAGUCGCGCCUGGCAAUGGUCAAGGAGAUGGGUCUCCUCGGCGCUGCCUACCCCCACAAGUAUCAUCGUCAAUACACGAUUCCUCAGUAUCGCAGGAAGUACGCGCCUUUGCUCACAGAGCCCGACACAUCCCUCGACGAAACGGUGACAAUCGCGGGCCGCAUCAUCAAUAAGCGUAGCUCCGGCUCGAAGCUGCACUUCAUUACUAUCCAGGGCGAUAUGGAGACUGUGCAGGUGAUUUCUGCUCUUACUGACUACAUCGACCAGUCCAAGUUCGCCGAGAUCCACUCUAAGCUGAAGCGCGGGGAUAUCAUCGGCAUUGCAGGUAGGCCGUCCCUAUCCAAAAGCAGCGAGUUCUCCCUCAAGGCAACCGAGAUUACGCUUCUUUCAACUUGCUACCACAUGCUCCCCGACGACUACUUCGGCCUUUCUUCCUUUGAGCAGCGCUUCCGUCAACGCUACCUCGACUUUAUUGUCAACCGCGACAAUAUCAAGACCUUCAUUCAGCGUGCAAACAUCAUCAAGUACAUUCGCAAAUUUUUUGAUGAGCGGGACUUCGUGGAGGUCGAGACGCCAAUGCUCAACCAAAUCGCUGGUGGAGCCGCGGCGCGUCCUUUUGUGACGCACCACAACGACCUCAACCAGACCAUGUUCCUGCGUAUCGCGCCGGAGCUGUACCUGAAGGAGCUCGUCGUCGGUGGCAUGGAUCGCGUGUACGAAAUCGGCAAGCAAUUCCGUAACGAGGGCAUCGACCUCACCCACAACCCCGAAUUCACAAGCUGCGAGGCGUACUGGGCAUACAUGGACUACCACGAUUGGAUGACCGCAACGGAGGACCUUCUGUAUGGUCUGGCCAUGGAGCUUCACGGCUCGCCAAUCGUUCGCUAUGCGCCGAAGGACUCAGAGGGCAAGCCACUGCCAGAGGUUACUUUCAACUUCAACAAGCCGUUCAAGCGUCUGCACAUUAUUCCGGAGCUGGAAAAGCGCUUGCAGGUAUCCUUUGACAACGUUGACUUCGAGUCCGAUGCGGGCAUUCAGUUUCUGAUGGACCUGUGCGAAAAACAUAAGGCCGACUGCCCUCCACCGUACACGGCGCCUCGCCUUCUCGAUGCCCUGAUCGCUGAGUUCCUUGAGCCCGAGUGCCACGACCCCUGCUUCAUCUGCGAUCACCCUCGCGUGAUGUCGCCUCUCGCCAAGUGGCACCGCAACGACCCCCGCCUGACGGAGCGCUUUGAGCUGUUCGUCAACAAGAAGGAGCUUGCUAAUGCGUACACCGAGCUGAACAACCCUAUCGUCCAACGUGAGGAGUUCGUUAAACAGCUGCGGAACCGCGACAAGGGCGAUGACGAAUCUAUGGAGAUCGAUGAGGGCUUCGUCGCAGCAUUGGAGCACGCGCUGCCGCCCACUGGUGGAUGGGGUCUUGGCAUCGACCGCCUUGUGAUGUUCCUCACAAGUCAGUCCAACAUCAAGGAAGUGCUUCUGUUCCCUGCCAUGAAGCCUGAAGGCAAGAACGCGAUUAGCUACCCUCCGGGCACGAUGCUCAAUGGUCAGGGUGUUCCCCUGCUGUAGUAGUACUCUAACGUUUUCCUUUUGUUUUUUUUUUUCGCCCUUUUUUAUGACUGUGAUUCUCUUCGUCGAAGCAGCAGCGAUGAAAGUACGAGGUGGCUAUAGUGGUACAUGUCUGUCAGUUUCGCCUCGCUUCUCUAAUGGCGGUGAUGUCCUCUGGCGUACAUCAGAAACGAAAAGAGAUAAAUACAACGAAAAAAGACACGCUGCUGUCAAAACCCCAGCACAGCGCUCAUUCCUUGAGUCCGGCUGGAACACGGCGAGCGACGUCAAGUGUUGUUCGAUUCGAAGGUUUCCCUACCUCCCUCUCCCUCUGUCUUCGAGCCCUUUUCGUUUCCCUCCUCCCUGAAAACACACAAAGAAGGGGGAGGGAGUGGAGGGAGACCUGUGCGUAAAAGGAAGAACGUGGACGGUGCGACGCAACGAAAAGGACGCAGCGUUUUUUUUUUUUCGCUGAUAAUUCGAAGGCAGUGGGAGACCUGCGCGGGGCGAAACGCGCUGGGUGUACUGACGCAAUUCGUGGCGUCCACAUGCGGUGUGCUGUCGUCUUCGAUGGCGUGGCAGCUAUAAGCAGCCGCCAAAAC
rnacentral:misc_RNA from 1 species